GUUUUUCGCUUGAAGAUGAGUCCGCGUGAGAUUAGCUAGUUGGUGAGGUAACGGCUCACCAAGGCAACGAUCUCUAACUGGUCUGAGAGGAUGAUCAGUCACACUGGAACUGAGACACGGUCCAGACUCCUACGGGAGGCAGCAGUAGGGAAUAUUGCACAAUGGAGGAAACUCUGAUGCAGCGACGCCGCGUGAGUGAUGAAGGCCUUCGGGUCGUAAAGCUCUGUCGCAGGGGAAUAACACAAUG
rnacentral:rRNA from 1 species